rnacentral:rRNA from 1 species
GUGCCAGCAGCCGCGGUAAUACAGAGGGUGCGAGCGUUACUCGGAAUUACUGGGCGUAAAGGGCGCGUAGGCGGACAUGCAAGUGGGAUGUGAAAUCCCCGGGCUUAACCUGGGAACUGCAUUCCAGACUGCAUGUCUGGAGUACUGUAGAGGACAGUGGAAUUUCCGGUGUAGCGGUGAAAUGCGUAGAGAUCGGAAGGAACACCAGUGGCGAAGGCGACUGUCUGGACAGAUACUGACGCUGAGGCGCGAAAGCGUGGGGAGCAAACAGGAUUAGAUACCCCGGUAGUCC